CUCCUAGGCAGACUGCCUACCACGGCUGACGAGCUCCACCUGCCCGGGUUUUAUGAUCGGAGUUUGCUCUCCUAGGUGUAUUACCUAUGACGGCUCACGAGCCCAACCUGCCCGGGUUUAUUGUUCGGAGUUUGCUCUCCUAGGUGUAUUACCUAUGACGGCUCACGAGCCCAACCUGCCCGGGUUUAUUGUUCGGAGUUUGCUCUCCUAGGUGAAUUGCCUACCACAGCUAACGAACCUCACCUGCCCGGGUUUGUAAUCGGAGUUUGCUCUCCUAGGUGAACUGCUUUCGCUAACGACCUCCACCUGCCCGGGUUUGUAAUCGGAGUUUGCUCUCCUAGAUGAAUUGCUUUCGCUAACGACCUCCACCUGCCCGGGUUUGUAAUCGGAGUUUGCUCUCCUAGGUGAACUGCUCACGCUAACGACCUCCACCUGCCCGGUUUUGUAAUCGGAGUUUGCUCUCCUAGAUGAACUGCUUUCGCUAACGACCUCCACCUGCCCGGGUUUAUUUUUCGGAGUUUGCUCUCCUAGGUGUAUUACCUAUGACGGCUCACGAGCCCAACCUGCCCGGGUUUAUUGUUCGGAGUUUGCUCUCCUAGGUGAAUUGCCUACCACGGCUAACGAGCCCCACCUGCCCGGGUUUGUUGUUCGGAGUUUGCUCUCCUAGGCAGAUUGCCUACCACGGCUAACGAGCCCCACCUGCCCGGCGUUGUAGCCGAAAGAUCUCCGGCACCUCCGUCGGGGUCCC